AACGAACGCCGGCGGCAGGCUUAACACAUGCAAGUCGAACGCAUCCUUCGGGGUGAGUGGCAGACGGGUGAGUAACGCGUGGGAACGUGCCCUUCAGUUCGGGAUAACCCAGGGAAACUUGGGCUAAUACCGGAUACGUGCGAGAGCAGAAAGAUUUAUCGCUGAAGGAUCGGCCCGCGUCUGAUUAGCUAGUUGGUGGGGUAAUGGCCCACCAAGGCGACGAUCAGUAGCUGGUCUGAGAGGAUGAUCAACCACAUUGGGACUGAGACACGGCCCAAACUCCUACGGGAGGCAGCAGUGGGGAAUAUUGGACAAUGGGCGCAAGCCUGAUCCAGCCAUGCCGCGUGAGUGAUGAAGGCCUUAGGGUUGUAAAGCUCUUUCGUCCGGGACGAUAAUGGCGGUACCGGAAGAAGAAGCCCCGGCUAACUUCGUGCCAGCAGCCGCAGUAA
rnacentral:rRNA from 1 species